AACGAAAAUUUGCAUGAGUUUCCCAUCAGAUCCAUUAACAGGUAAACCUUAGGAAAAGCAUUUUCCCAUUUACCCAUCAGCACUGCUCUUUUUAUUAUGCCAAUCACAGGCUCUUUGUUUAAAGGGCACAGUAGGCAUCUUCCCAAAGUUUUACAUUUACUCUUCUUCUGCCCUCCAGAUUAAUGAGAACUGAGCCCCUGCUCCUGUCGCUCUCAGACCUCUCCUUCAUUUUUUGCUGACAACCAAACCUGCCCUUCCUCCUUUCCAUUUGAUGUAGAAUUUAUAUCAGCCACAUGGGAAAAGGAGGAGCAGCUUCAACCACUGACUUUAAUCUCCAUGUGAAAGCUAUUUUCUCCUGCUGCUUGAGCUGGAGGAGCUGCUGUAUCCCUCACACUGGCAAGAUCCGUGGCAAACCCCAGCAGGACCCUUUGCUUGUGACGGCUCUACACAAACCCUAAGCAGAAGACCAAAAGCAAACAGUAGAGGUAAG
rnacentral:lncRNA from 1 species